CCCACCCCACCCCCUCUAAAUUAGAGGUUGGGUUUCGAGACAGAACGAGGAUGAAAAUGCAGGACUGAUCCUUUCACGUUCCUGUUUUGUUAGCGCUUUAAGCACGGAGCCACUUUCUUCAGGGAAUCGCUUUCAAUGGGGACGCAGGCCGGAACGCUGACUAACGCUAAACACAGAUUUGGUUAAAAAGCUGCGCCGGCCGCCGCCGCCGCCGCCGCCGCCGCGGGUUCUUUACAAUGAAAGCCCGAGAGGCCCAGCCCAAUACAGGGCAGAACUUAAUUGCCUUUCCAAAUCACGCACGUUCUGACCCCCUUCUCCGUCUGCCUGGAGCUCUCUUUUCUCUUCUCCGGGGCCGGAAAAUGGGUACCUGAGUCUGAGCCAUGAAAAGAUGCAGUUGGAGUGUAUCAAGAACAAAGUAAAAGCCAGAAGGAGCCGGGCUUCCCUCCGUCCCCGCGCCCCCUCCCCCCACGCCCACCCGAAAAGAGCCGGGCCUGCGAGCGCCCGGCCCUGGCCACAGAGCUGUUUGAUUGCUUAAGCCUGGUGGUCAGACAAUAGGACCAGAAAGAAUGGCUGCUUCCUUCCUUCCUGUUGAGUGUUCUGCCUGAGUGAACAAAUUCAAUAGCAUUUUGCUUCACGGCAACACUAGGCCCUAGCACAAGCGAAAAUCAACAAAGAGCCAUUCUACGGCAUUUCCAAACCCACCUAAGCCAAGCCACUGAACUGUGGAACCACGGGGGAGGGGGUGUCCGAAUCCAUGGCCUGCUGGAGGGUGUGCACAAAGCACGGAUUCUUUCCGAUAUUUUGGAGCUUUCUUAAUCUGGCCAUUUCCACCGCAUCUGCAAAAAUAAAACUGGUAUGAUCAGCUGGGAUGAAGAAAACUAUAAAUGGUUUAAAUUUACCUCAAAAAAUUGUGCUUGAAGAGCUAGCCAUCCCUCUUGCUCUGUCUUUUUUUCACAUAUAUAGGAGAGAGGCAAAAAUUGGGGGAAUUUUGCAACUGAGACUAUCAUCUACUGAAGACUUGGAAUAAAACAUUUACUGCCACAAUUUUUAAUUUAAAUUAAAAUAAGACAAUGAUAUGAAGACCAUGUGCAAAGAUAUUAUUUAAUAUAUAUACUUUGGAAUGCAUAUAACAUAUACUUUAUUAUUCAAAAUACACUUUAUUUAAAAUAAGUCUUAUUGAAAAUAUACUUUUUAUUGAAAAUACACCUUAUUUAAAAUACAUCUUAUUACUGAAAGUAUAACUUAUAAAAAUAUACUUUAGAAUGCAUAGAAAAUAUACUUUAUUAUUGAAAAUACACCGUUAUUACUUAAAAUAUGCAUUAGAAUGCACAGAAAUGAUCUUAUUAUUUAAAAUAUAAUUCAGUAUUGAAAAUAUACAUAUUAUAAAUAUACUUUAUUACUUUAAUAUAUUUUAGAAUGCAUAUGGCUUUGUAUAUUAAUGCUUAGUAUACAUUAUACAUUUCCUAUGAUACAUGUGUAUAUUCAUAUAUAGACAAAUUUAAAAUCUAUUUUGCAGAAAUUUUGUUUGCUGUUUAUUUUGGGCCUUUUUAUGUUAUUCCUUAAUUCUGAACUUUUCUAGGCCAGCUUAUGUUGCCAACAUAUUCAAAGACAUGUGCCUCUUGGUUGUCAAAAAAUCCCAUAAUCGUAAGCAAUGGGUUUCUUGCUCUCCAAGAUCCUCUCAAAAGACUCAUUUGAUGUAAUGCUGACUAUUGGAGAAUACAAAAUCAGCAUGCUAAGUAUUCUUACAGUCUCUUACAGAUGAACUGGCACAUCACCCUGCAGAAUAAUGCAUUAGUAUACUGUGGGAUUAUGGGGCAAGAAUAUCUGGAGCUCUGUUUGUCCCCCAGUAUACAGGCAGGGUUUUGCUUCAGAUGAUAUUACUAAAAAGAGUCUAUAUGAGAAAGAAAGUCUGUUGGAUGGGAGAGCAAAAAGGAACACUAAAAUGAAAACAAUCUCUCUUCAAACUGUAUUUAAGCUAUCAAAUGAAAUCCUUUUGGAAACAUUAUCAAAAGUUUUCUUUUUCAAGACUAAGAAUGUGCUUACUUGGCUUUUUAAAAAACGAAGUUGGGUUUUACAUUUCCCUGUUGCAUCUGUUUUCUUUUGCAAAGACCUGCUUUAGUCGUUUCCCCCACUCCAUUUGAACUAUAGUUGGAACUAAUCAUCAAGCCCAAAUAUGUCAAACUCUUGCUUUUCUUUCCUUUAUCUCAACUAUGACGUUAUCUCAUCCUAAACUGCAACCCUGAUUAGAAAUGGGAAAAUUUCUUUUGUUGUCUCCUACUGCCUUAACUCUAUUAUUUGUCAUUAUAUCAUCUAUAAUGUUUGCAUAUCUGGUUAUGUAAAUCAGUGUUUUUGUAACUAAAGUAUUAGUUUCAUGGCAAGUUCUUUGUGGCAUCCUAUAUUACAAUUAUGACUAGAGUUUAUAAUAAAUGCAUAGUGAUAUAGUUA